CCCAUUAGUUAGUUGGUAAGGUAACGGCUUACCAAGACGAUGAUGGGUAGGGGUCCUGAGAGGGAGAUCCCCCACACUGGUACUGAGACACGGACCAGACUCCUACGGGAGGCAGCAGUGAGGAAUAUUGGGCAAUGGAGGCAACUCUGACCCAGCCAUGCCGCGUGCAGGAAGACGGCCCUAUGGGUUGUAAACUGCUUUUGUACGGGAAGAAACACUCCUACGUGUAGGAGCUUGACGGUACCGUAAGAAUAAGGAUCGGCUAACUCCGUGCCAGCAGCCGCGGUAAUACGGAGGAUCCAAGCGUUAUCCGGAAUCAUUGGGUUUAAAGGGUCCGUAGGCGGCCUUAUAAGUCAGUGGUGAAAUCUCCUAGCUCAACUAGGAAACUGCCAUUGAUACUGUAGGGCUUGAAUUUUUGUGAAGUAACUAGAAUAUGUAGUGUAGCGGUGAAAUGCUUAGAUAUUACAUGGAAUACCAAUUGCGAAGGCAGGUUACUAACAAACGAUUGACGCUGAUGGACGAAAGCGUGGGGAGCGAACAGGAUUAGAUACCCUGGUAGUCCACGC
rnacentral:rRNA from 1 species